rnacentral:rRNA from 1 species
UUUGGAUUAAUGCCCUAUGUUAUAUUGAGUCGGCAUCGAUUUUAUAUUAAAGGUUACGGUAAGAGAUGAGCAUGCGUCCCAUUAGUUAGUUGGUAAGGUAACGGCUUACCAAGGCUUCGAUGGGUAGGGGUCCUGAGAGGGAGAUCCCCCACACUGGUACUGAGACACGGACCAGACUCCUACGGGAGGCAGCAGUGAGGAAUAUUGGACAAUGGACGGAAGUCUGAUCCAGCCAUGCCGCGUGUAGGAAGACUGCCCUAUGGGUUGUAAACUACUUUUAUACAGGAAGAAUAAGAUCUACGUGUAGAUUGAUGACGGUACUGUAAGAAUAAGGACCGGCUAACUCCGUGCCAGCAGCCGCGGUAAUACGGAGGGUCCGAGCGUUAUCCGGAAUUAUUGGGUUUAAAGGGUCCGUAGGCGGGCUGUUAAGUCAGAGGUGAAAUGCUGCGGCUCAACCGUAUGCACUGCCUUUGAUACUGGCGGUCUUGAGUUAUAGUGAAGUGGCUAGAAUAUGUAGUGUAGCGGUGAAAUGCAUAGAUAUUACAUAGAAUACCGAUUGCGAAGGCAGGUCACUAACUAUACACUGACGCUGAUGGACGAAAGCGUGGGUAGCGAACAGGAUUAGAUACCCUGGUAGUCCACGCCGUAAACGAUGGAUACUAGCUGUUCGGUUUUCGGACUGAGCGGCCAAGCGAAAGUGAUAAGUAUCCCACCUGGGGAGUACGUUCGCAAGAAUGAAACUCAAAGGAAUUGACGGGGGCCCGCACAAGCGGUGGAGCAUGUGGUUUAAUUCGAUGAUACGCGAGGAACCUUACCAGGGCUUAAAUGUAGAUUGACAGGUUUAGAGAUAGACUUUUCUUCGGACAAUUUACAAGGUGCUGCAUGGUUGUCGUCAGCUCGUGCCGUGAGGUGUCAGGUUAAGUCCUAUAACGAGCGCAACCCCUGUCGUUAGUUGCCAGCAUGUCAUGAUGGGGACUCUAACGAGACUGCCGGUGCAAACCGUGAGGAAGGUGGGGAUGACGUCAAAUCAUCACGGCCCUUACGUCCUGGGCCACACACGUGCUACAAUGGCCGGUACAGAGAGCAGCCAUCUGGUAACAGAGAGCGAAUCUAUAAAACCGGUCACAGUUCGGAUCGGGGUCUGCAACUCGACCCC